GUGGGGAAUAUUGGACAAUGGGCGCAAGCCUGAUCCAGCCAUGCCGCGUGAGUGAUGAAGGCCUUAGGGUUGUAAAGCUCUUUCACCGGAGAAGAUAAUGACGGUAUCCGGAGAAGAAGCCCCGGCUAACUUCGUGCCAGCAGCCGCGGUAAUACGAAGGGGGCUAGCGUUGUUCGGAAUUACUGGGCGUAAAGCGCACGUAGGCGGAUAUUUAAGUCAGGGGUGAAAUCCCAGAGCUCAACUCUGGAACUGCCUUUGAUACUGGGUAUCUUGAGUAUGGAAGAGGUAAGUGGAAUUCCGAGUGUAGAGGUGAAAUUCGUAGAUAUUCGGAGGAACACCAGUGGCGAAGGCGGCUUACUGGUCCAUUACUGACGCUGAGGUGCGAAAGCGUGGGGAGCAAACAGG
rnacentral:rRNA from 1 species